ensembl:lncRNA
GUUCUCUCAGUAGCAGUGAGGUGAUUUAGUUGUCAGUCGAAUCAGCCCUGCUAUAGAUCUCUAACAGUUAAAGGCAUUAGUACUUAAUGAAAGUUUACAUUGAAAGUUUAAUUGUAAUGAAAUUACUUGAUGAUUAGAGGGAUCACAAUACCUGAAGUCUUAACUGUCACAUUACCCACGUGUUCACGUUGCCCCAAAAUUAUGAGGUGCAUAUGGAUUUCCAUAUAACGUUUAUAAUUCUGAUUUUUUUUUUAAUUAAAAUUUGGUUUAUGAUCUCACAAGAUUUCACAAUAUUUACAAAAAAAGUUUACCUGUGUCACUGAGCAACGUUUAUCAGAAUGAGGGGAUUUGCCUUUUGAUUUAAAAAAAUAAAAAGACGUUGCGUGAUCAGUGAUCGACGUGCACUCAAACUACAGAGUCAGUGAUGUAGCUGCUUUGAGCAGACAUUUAAUGUUUGUUUUUAAAAAGGAAAAAAAAAAAGUAAAUGGGACCCUCGGAUGUGUAGCACAUGUCGAUUAAUCAUAGUAAAACGAUACAAGAUGUUGACUAAUUUCAGAGAUGGGUCAUCUGAAACUCCCCUGAGGGCGUCGGCUGAAACUCGACAUGCGUUCCUGUAAAUACGUCCAAAACAAGAAGUUUGAAUAAACGCUGCUUUCCUGAAGUACACAUUCAGAUUCAGUUCCGCUCUGCAGCCUCUGUGUGUCGAAACAAAAAAGCACGGUGAUGAAGUGAUCUUUUUGAAGAUGUCCAUGACUAUACUGGGUGUCAAAUAUUUUGGGAAGCAAUUAUUUGUCCAAAUGACAAGUGUUUGAAUAAAUAAAUAAAUAAAUAAAUAAAUAAAAUACCCUGAACUUUCUGUUCAGACGUUUGCAUUAAAUCUGAAGCCAUGACGUUAGAAAUUUUCAGUUCUGGAUAUUGUCCAGUUUUAGUGUUUUAUUUUUUUUUAAAGUUAGAGUUCUAAAAGUAUUAGUUUUUUUUUUUCCUUUUCAUUCCUAAAGUCUUGCUUUGUCGUUCAGGCCUAAAUUAAAGGACCAAGCUUUUUCCUUUCAUUUUAUCCGUGAAUUUCUGGUGAUGUCAUGCUGCCUAAUACCGAGGCAGCCUCCUCCCUAAUAAAGUCCUCAUCCACGACCAAGUGCCGUCCUUUUUGGCCUCUUUAGGUUCCUGUAUAUUUUUGUUCUGAUUCGUUGUAAUUAUCGUUUUCCUAAAUCUUGUAGCAAAUAAAAACCGACUUGCUAUGAUGUAGCUUGUGUUGCUCGUGUCAUUGUGGAGAAUGAUGUGAUUUUCCUGC